GUUAUUUGUACAACAAGAGAGCAAAGGUUGAUAUUUCUUCGAGUGCUUAUUUUGAUCCAAUCUUGAGCGUAGCAAGGGACUCAAAAGCGCACGAGAUGUAAAUAACUUAUAUCUCGUGUAGUACACAAGAUUUUUCACCUCAGCAGUGAGAACAUAUUUGGAAGGAAAAAUACAA